UACGGGGGGGGCAAGCGUUGUUCGGAAUUACUGGGCGUAAAGGGCUCGUAGGCGGCCAACUAAGUCAGACGUGAAAUCCCUCGGCUUAACCGGGGAACUGCAUCUGAUACUGGAUGGCUUGAGUUCGGGAGAGGGAUGCGGAAUUCCAGGUGUAGCGGUGAAAUGCGUAGAUAUCGGGAGGAACACCAAUGGCGAAGGCAGCUCGCUGGGACGGUACUGACGCUGAGACGCGAAAGCGUGGGGAGCAAACAGG
rnacentral:rRNA from 1 species